ACCCGCCCGCCAGGGGGCGCUGUGCAAGCCCGGAGCGUUCCGUGAGGGAGCGGGAGCGCGGGAGCGGUCACCGGGCUCUGGGAGGCCCUUGUGUCCUGAGGGGACGUGCCACCCCUGGCGGUCACCGUGUCCUGAGGGGACAGCCCACUCCUGAGCCUUCACUGUGCCCAGAGCUGCAAUCUGCAAUCCCUCCUUGAGGGGUCAUUUCAGCCCAUUUCAGGCGGGAUCACAUCGUUUUCCAUCAGGAGGAGAUGAAAUCUCCUGAUCUGCUCCACCGUGCAGUUAUAAAACCACCAGGUGUGUUGGUGGCCAUGAUGCAAAGGGAAGGCGCGUGUGCCUGCAGUGGCCGGGAGGUCCUGCAGUGACGGCUCUGUGACUUGGCCACCUCCUGUGCUGCAGCCUUGCACUGCAAGCACAAGGCCCUCCUCCAGGCAAAGCUUAGUGGAGAGGGUAGCUGUUCUCUGGUCUGUUUGCUGGUUACUACUGAGCCGCCCAGCCCAGUGGAGAAAAUGCUUUGAUGUUAAUGAGCUGCAGACAAGUUCACUUAACACCGAGCAGGGCCUGGCAUCUCAGAGGUAAGACUUUCAGGGCAGAUCCUACAGCAAGUCUCUCCAACAUCCGUUUUGCCGCUGCAGAAAAUACUCAGAAAGACGUUUGAGCAGAAACCUGUCUUCUCACAGUCUUGCACCACACCCAGUAUCAUUACAGCCUCAGAGAUGCCAGAGGUGGGGAAAUAGUGAGAGUUAAAAAUGGCCCUAUAGAAUCGCAUGACCUUUAUGGGACUCAGUAGGAACAUGAUUUACCCUCUUGUCCCAUUAAUUGCCUACUUCUGUGGUCCUGUAGAAGGAAUACGCUGGAAUGGGAGAAGAGGAUAGACCCUAAAUUGCUGAUUUUCCUGAUUCCUGUGUGGCUGGAGUUCAAGGCAACACCAUUCAGAACAUGGCACUCUUUCCAUCAGCACAGCAGAUGUCUGAAUGGACGGGGCCAGCUGCAGUAAAGUGAGACUUGCACAAACA